rnacentral:rRNA from 1 species
GACGAACGCUGGCGGCGUGCUUAACACAUGCAAGUCGAACGGUGAAGCGCCUUCCUUUUUGGUGGGUGUGGAUGAGUGGCGAACGGGUGAGUAACACGUGAGUAACCUGCCCCCUUCUUCUGGAUAACCGCAUGAAAGUGUGGCUAAUACGGGAUAUUCUGGGUCUGUCGCAUGAUGGGUCUGGGAAAGAUAUUGUUUCGGUGGGGGAUGGGCUCGCGGCCUAUCAGCUUGUUGGUGGGGCGAUGGCCUACCAAGGCGGUGACGGGUAGCCGGCCUGAGAGGGUGGACGGUCACACUGGGACUGAGACACGGCCCAGACUCCUACGGGAGGCAGCAGUGGGGAAUAUUGCACAAUGGGCGCAAGCCUGAUGCAGCGACGCCGCGUGAGGGAUGGAGGCCUUCGGGUUGUGAACCUCUUUCGCCAGUGAAGCAGGCCUGCCUCGUUUGUGGGUGGGUUGACGGUAGCUGGAUAAGAAGCGCCGGCUAACUACGUG